rnacentral:rRNA from 1 species
CCUACGGGUGGCUGCAGUCGAGGAUCUUUGGCAAUGAGCGCAAGCUUGACCAAGCGACGCCGCGUGUGCGAUGAAGGCCUUCGGGUUGUAAAGCACUGUCGAGGGGAGCACCGAUCCCUGGAGGAAGCACGGGCUAAGUUCGUGCCAGCAGCCGCGGUAAGACGAACCGUGCGAACGUUGUUCGGAAUCACUGGGCUUAAAGGGCGCGUAGGCGGCUUAUCAAGUCAGGGGUGAAAUCCUCCAGCUCAACUGGAGAAGUGCCUUUGAUACUGAUAAGCUCGAGGGAGGUAGGGGCAUGUGGAACUUCUGGUGGAGCGGUGAAAUGCGUUGAUAUCAGAAGGAACGCCGGUGGCGAAAGCGACGUGCUGGCCCUUCUGACGCUGAGGCGCGAAAGCUAGGGGAGCAAACGGGAUUAGAUACCCUUGUAGUC